rnacentral:rRNA from 1 species
AAAUUGAAGAGUUUGAUCAUGGCUCAGAUUGAACGCUGGCGGCAGGCCUAACACAUGCAAGUCGAACGGUAACAGAAAUCAGCUUGCUGAUUUGCUGACGAGUGGCGGA